GUUUUGUUUAUCUGAGGCCAUACAUCUCUUGCAGCUGACCAGCUCCUAGGAGGUGUGAGCAUGCAGGAAAUCCACUGGAGAAGCGAGGAGAACUGUUUCUGCUUGUGAUAUCCUUGAGGGCCACUGACUGACAGGGCUGUGCAGGAUUGCUGGUCCUGAAGCACUGAUUUGCAGCCCGUGCUGCUGCCCCGCUCAUGGCUUUGCCUCAAACACAUGCUGAGCCCUGGCAUGCAGGGGAUUUGUUCUCACCUUUGGGCAAUGAAAUCCUAUCUGACUUCUGCUGCUAAUAAGUCUUAAUCCCCUGCAGCGGAGGACAACGGCCUCGGCUGCUUUAUUUACUGAGAAAAGAUUAGAAGGUAAUUUGUGCUGUGAGAAGUGCCGUGGUACUGAGAAGCUCUUGUGCUCGGUGGGAGGAGCAGCCGCACGCUUCCAGCUGCCCCAGGGCCCGGCGUGCAGCGGGGCUUUCUGAGGACUAAAAUCCUGGCAGCCAGGUGGGAUGGCUGGACAAGCCAUGGACAUCUCCUGCUUUGAGCUGCUGCUGCUCGCAACUGCGCAUCUGUCUGUGGCGUGGGGUUGUUUGGGUUGCUUUCACGUUUGCAUCGUGGAGCAGGGUCAUAAGGAGCUGCUCCCACCUGUCUGUGUGCUGGACGAGGGCUCAGUUACUGCAGAGCUGCUGCUGCCUUUCAAAGGGCGCCUUCGCAGUGCUCUCGUGACGUUCGUCGCGGAGUGGAGCUCAGUCAGAUUGGGGAAGGACAGCAGAGGAAAGCUUUGCAUUUUCACAACGACUGUGUGACUCGUCCUGCCCAAAGCGACGCGGGCAGUCUGUACGAGGCCGCCGGCCGCUCAUUCUGUCUCGGGAGGACGCUCACACCGCCCGCUGCCCCGCGGGGCUCACACGGGCGUUUCUCGCCACGCUUCG
rnacentral:lncRNA from 1 species